UACGGGGGGGGGCAAGCGUUGUUCGGAAUUACUGGGCGUAAAGGGCUCGUAGGUGGCCAACUAAGUCAGACGUGAAAUCCCUCGGCUUAACCGGGGAACUGCGUCUGAUACUGGAUGGCUUGAGUUUGGGAGAGGGACGCGGAAUUCCAGGUGUAGCGGUGAAAUGCGUAGAUAUCAGGAAGAACACCGGUGGCGAAAGCGCUCUGCUAGGCCGCAACUGACACUGAGGGACGAAAGCUAGGGGAGCGAAUGGG
rnacentral:rRNA from 1 species